AUUAGAUAACUCGAGAUAUCCCCUCAGCUGAGUCGCUUAUACCCUUGCCUGGAUUUGGCAGCGGCGUCCGGUCGCUUUCCUUGUCCCCAACUGCCAUAAACUAAGUCGACAGUCUCUUCCCUCCUAUUGAGACCUCUCCUCUCUUCCGUUCCUCAUAAAAUGGGUAGGUUUUUCCUUGUAUGUGUGGUGGCAAGCCAAGAGAAAAAAAAGUCUCUUAUUCUUCUGUCUUUGAUUUGGUUACUGUGGAUUGUGUUGUCUUUGUUUUACCUCCUUGUUGUUUUGGGCAGGCACGUGCUUUGCUUGUUGAGAGACGGGAAUUAGGGUUUGGAGGGGAAGCCGGAACGGCAGCCACCAACCAUUAGGCUUUCUGAGUUCAAGGAUCUUUGGAGGUUUAUCUAUCACUCGGAAGAAAAUGGGAAGAUCUCUCUCUCUCUCUCUCUCUCUCUCUCUCUCUCGCUCCCCCCCCCCCCCCCCCCCCCCUAAGAUUUGCUUAGCUUCAAGUUCAUCUACAUUGCUUUGCGAUUUUAUUGAUCUAUUUGUGGAUGUAGCUGUAUUGUUGGAGGAUUUGGUUCUCCCACAGGUGAUCGUGGUCUUCUGUUCCCUCUGAAAUAUGUGGAUUAUCUAGUUGAUCCGCUCUUUCUUCCCUGGGAGAAAAAAGGUUGGGCUUAUUUAUAAGGAGAGCACGUCGCCUCUUGAUUUUUUAUUUUUUUGAGCAAUAUACAGGAUUAAAAUCCCGGACCUUAUUCUCCAAGGGCAAGCCCUUAAGGGAGAGGUUCCAACCAACUGAGCAAACAGUUGUUGACCUCCAUUUUUUUGAUUUGAUGUUCCAGUUGUAAUGGUUUAAAGAGGUGUAGAAGAUGCGAGGUAGGCAAUUCUUCUAUUAUUUUUGGAUAUUUUGUUGGUUACGGUUUGAACUUUUCUUUGAAUGACAACUUGAAUAAUAGAUUGAAGUUAGAAUCAUGCUUGACGAUUAUUUAUUGUUUGUUUUGGGCUUUUGGUUUUCCAACUUUUUGGGAUAUUAUAUAUCAAUUUUUCUGAAACCACUAUCUUAUAUGAAUUUGCAAUCAGCAAUAAGGCCUCAACAUAAAGCCGCCGGAAGUGUCUUUCUUCCUCCAUUACUCAAAAAAAAAGGGAGUAACAAAAAGGCCUAAACAUGCUAUGUUUUUCAGAGAUCCUAAAGACCUUUUCUACAAGGCUCAGGUGCUUAAGAUCAUGGCCGACCAGCCUUCUGAGAUGGUCGGAUCCCUCUCUCCCAAGCUUUCUCUUUGGGAGAUGUCUAGGGUGCAAACCUUGGUGGGGACAUUGCCACCAUAUUUCUCAGAACAAAAACGGGCAUCCUCUUCUUGUUUCUGCCACUCCGUGAAAUGUGUGUUGAAGGGGGAGGAAAGAGUAACAGUCACCAAAACUAGUGCUUUUUUGUUUCCAGUCUCAUCUUUGGAGAUUUUUAAAAGGUCUAACUUUAGUAUUUCUUCUGUUGCAGGUCUGAAAAAGGUUGAGGAGGGACUGAGUUACUGUUCUGGUCUACAGUGGAAGUACAUCACUUCAGGGCCAUGGUUUUGUUAAUCUCGAGCUGAUGCCUGUCUUUUUUUUGCUGAUACCUGUGCUGCAUAAAGUUCUUUAUGAACAAUGCUUUUUCUUUCACACAUCUAUAAAUCAAUGCACUCCUCCCUAUGUGUCCCUCGCCUGGACAUCUCUCUCUCUUAAACAUUGCCUUGAAUGUUGCGAACAUAAAUGGUUAUUUUUAUGUGUAGAUUAUGUGGUA